CUACGUGCCAGCAGCCGCGGUAAUACGUAGGGGGCUAGCGUUAUCCGGAUUUACUGGGCGUAAAGGGUGCGUAGGUGGUCCUUCAAGUCGGUGGUUAAAGGCUACGGCUCAACCGUAGUAAGCCGCCGAAACUGGAGGACUUGAGUGCAGGAGAGGAAAGUGGAAUUCCCAGUGUAGCGGUGAAAUGCGUAGAUAUUGGGAGGAACACCAGUAGCGAAGGCGGCUUUCUGGACUGCAACUGACACUGAGGCACGAAAGCGUGGGUAGCAAACAGGAUUAGAUACCCUGGUAGUCCACGCUGUAAACGAUGAGUACUAGGUGUCGGGGGUUACCCCCCUCGGUGCCGCAGCUAACGCAUUAAGUACUCCGCCUGGGGAGUACGCACGCAAGUGUGAAACUCAAAGGAAUUGACGGGGACCCGCACAAGUAGCGGAGCAUGUGGUUUAAUUCGAAGCAACGCGAAGAACCUUACCUAAGCUUGACAUCCCUCGGACAGGUGUUUAAUCACACCCUUCCUUCGGGACUGAGGUGACAGGUGGUGCAUGGUUGUCGUCAGCUCGUGUCGUGAGAUGUUGGGUUAAGUCCCGCAACGAGCGCAACCCUUGUCUUUAGUUGCCAGCAUUCAGUUGGGCACUCUAGAGAGACUGCCAGGGAUAACCUGGAGGAAGGUGGGGAUGACGUCAAAUCAUCAUGCCCCUUAUGCUUAGGGCUACACACGUGCUACAAUGGGUGGUACAGAGGGCAGCAAAGUCGUGAGGCCAAGCUAAUCCCUUAAAGCCAUUCUCAGUUCGGAUUGUAGGC
rnacentral:rRNA from 1 species